GACGAACGCUGGCGGCAUGCCUAAUACAUGCAAGUCGAACGCUGAAGCACUCUGCUUGCAGAGUGCGGGUGAGUGGCGAACGGGUGAGUAACACGUGGGAAAUCUGCCUAUAAGAGGGGGAUAACAUUCGGAAACGGAUGCUAAUACCGCAUAUAUUCUUGGACCGCCUGGUCCUUUAAAGAAAGACGGCUUUGCUGUCACUUAUAGAUGAUCCCGCGGCGUAUUAGUUAGUUGGUGGGGUAAAGGCCUACCAAGACAACGAUACGUAGCCGACCUGAGAGGGUGAUCGGCCACACUGGGACUGAGACACGGCCCAGACUCCUACGGGAGGCAGCAGUAGGGAAUCUUCCGCAAUGGGCGAAAGCCUGAUGGAGCAAUGCCGCGUGAGUGAAGAAGGUCUUCGGAUCGUAAAGUUCUGUUAUUAGAGAAGAACAAAUCUAUAAGUAACUGUCUUGACUUUGACGGUACCUAAUCAGAAAGCCACGGCUAACUACGUG
rnacentral:rRNA from 1 species